UACGUAGGUGGCAAGACGUUGUCGGAUUCGAUCUGGGCGUAAAGAGCGUGUAGGCGGCCACGCAGGUCCGUUGUGAAACUGGAGGCUCAACCUCCAGCUGUCGACGGAAACCGUGUGGCUAGAGUCCGGAAGAGGAGAGUGGAAUUCCUGGUGUAGCAGUGAAAUGCGCAGAUAUCAGGAAGAACACCAAUGGCGAAGGCAGCUCUCUGGGACGGUACUGACGCUGAGACGCGAAAGCGUGGGGAGCGAACAGG
rnacentral:rRNA from 1 species